UGAGGAUGGUGGUGAGUGGGACCGAGAGAAAGCUGGAAGCGUUCCUUUCCUGUUACUGAUCGCGGUGUUUGCCCCCUGCCCCUCCCAACUCCCCCUUCUCCUUCCCUGCCGCCCCCCCUCAGCUGCGAGGAUCAAACAAUAUCAAGGAGACUUUCUUCACUUGUCUCCCCUUGACAGGGCUGAUCAGUUAACUCAGGAACAUUUAGAAGGUUGGUAUCAUUGUGGAAGAAAAUCCUUCACUUCCUAGGUUGAUCACCAUCUUCUGAGGUGAAGUCCUAUCUCAUGAACAGAAGUGAAAUGAGGGACCAUGAUCUGCUAAUUUGCAGGUGAUCUGGAUGAUUGUCUGGGUGCUUUACGAUGUGCAUGUUGGGAGUAUGAAGGAGCCCUGUGAAUCUGGAUGUUAAGCCCUAUAGGAAAAUAAAGGAAAUGAUGAAGGAACUGGUUGCCAGUUGCUAGAAAAAAUUGCAAGAUACUAACAGGCUGUUGACCCCAUGUCUAACUAUCAGGAGCCACCACUGGGACAGAUCAUAGGGCAACAAGCCAGUUUCAAACUCAUACAAGGCCUGUGAGCUAAGCACCAAUGGCUUGUGCAAAGCUGCUGCCCCUGUUUCAUAGCUGCGCUGGGGUUUGAAUGAAAUUGCCCAUUUCUGCACCACCACAGCUGCUGUUAUACUAUAUCAUCUUUCCAUGGUUAUUGUGAAUAAGGCCCUGUCCAGUUUUUUGGUCUUGUCGUUCUUGGGAAUUAAAACUCCUGUGUUCCUAAAUUAUGCAACGUCAGCUUUCUGGAUGGAAGCCAUUUUGUUGUUUUAGAGACCCAGAGGCUGGGAGUUCAAUUCCCGACUGUGUCUCCAGAGAGAAGAACCAGCUUGUUCAGCCUUGGACAACCUGCACAGUCUGAGGACGCCCCACCCCCCAGAAGAAGGGAAUGUAGUGAGAUGCGGUGGAAUCAUAUGUUCUUUUUGCAGCUAUGUGCUUACCUUCUCCUUAGCACCCCGAAACACCUGAUCUCAUCAAGUGCUGAAAGACCCUCCGUUCAUGAUUUUCUUCAAAAUAUGAAACACUGCUGAAUGCUGUGCAAAUGUAUUAUAACCAAGGAGCCUUUUCUGAAGAGAAGAAAAUUAUUUUAUGCCCUAGUUAUGGCUAUUAAUUUCUGACAGCUGUUGCUCCUCAAAUAGUCCUGAUUCUGGGUUGCUGCUUAAUUCUUACCUACUCCUGUUGAUUUUUUUUUCUUGUUCCACAAGGUGAGACAUGAGUAUAAGAUACAUUCCUUUUAUUAAAAUUAUCUGCUCUUGGUGCUUCAUGGCACAAUUGAAAAAACAACCACCUACUGAACAUAUUGUCUUGUCUAUUAAAUAAAUAUAAACAGUGCUGCCAUGGUGUGCUGCAAAAAGUAAUUAUAUUGCUAGUCACCAGCCUAACAGUUCACUUCAGGCAAUAAAUUCUGAUCAACAAAUAGUACUUCUUCAGAGAUAAAUUGGAUCUUGGUGGUAAUUGAAUGUCCUUAACUUAGCGUUCUACCGGAUUGGAGGAAUAUCAUUUUCAUGUACUGUCUUUAAAUUUUCAUUAAGGAAAAAUACAGCUACCUGCUGCCUCAUCUGGCCAUGUUUAAUGAUAUUCUCUAACUUCUUCACUGUAUCAGUAGGAGCUUCUCUAAAUUGGUCAGCUGGGUGGAACGUUGUUUUCAUGUCUUUAAUUCACUCUGAAAUAGUCUUGUAAAAAUAAUGUCAUAAAAUGAUAUCAGGCUGCUCCUUGAUUUGUAUCCUUUAAACAAAUCAUUCUAAUAAGAAAUGGCCAAAAACUUAUUAUAUAUACAUCAAAGUGACAAUUAAUAAAGACUGCUAUGGUUUCACCUGAAAAUAAACACACAAUCUAAAAGUCACCUAUUAACAUUUCUUUUUGUCACACUUAGAGAAUUCUGGGACCUGGGCUGCUGUAGAAUGUGGUGUCAUCCCCAAUGAGAGAAGAUGGGCUUGGCCCCCAAGGCCCCCAGAGGUAUGUUUGGCCUCUGUUUUUUUUUCCUGCCAUAUAUAGGCCAUCAUUCCCUGUCUGUCACCACAUCAUAAUAACAGUCAUUGUACCCUUCAAAUUGUUGAUCAUAUUGAAGUCAUGUGUAUAUUAUUUGGAAAGAUUAUUCUUGAAUAUUGUUUUUAUCUAUACAAAUGGCAGUGAGUAUUUUAUGCAAAGAAAGAUGUAUAUUUUAAAAAAAAAAUAAUAAAAAUUUUGUCCCUAUGCAUAAAGAUGUUAUG